GCCGUCUUAGCUCAGUUGGCAGAGCACCUCCAUGGUAAGGAGGGGGUCAUCGGUUCGACUCCGAUAGACGGCUCCA
rnacentral:tRNA from 1 species